rnacentral:sRNA from 1 species
UUGGCAGCCAUGGAGACUGAAAUCUCUUUGUUUCUUCUACAGAACAGGUACAGUACAGGAGAGGCAGUGCAAGCUUACCUACCCUAGCCUGCUAUGUUCCUCUUCUCUGACCUUCAGGGGUCACCUCUAGGGUGACUACAAAGUAGUUUAAUCCCCAUCUUGGUCUCUCUACUUAGGUUGG